CUCUAAUUCAUCAUGUUGGCUCUGUACAUCAAGAAAUCUUUAUAUAUUUGAACAAAUGUUUUCUCAUCAAGUGUUCAUGCAGGAAUGAGAGCAAAUCAAGAGCAAAGGGAAUGGAGAAACACGCAACAUCCACACACCAAAAAAAGAAAAGGAAUAACCAUAGCCAAAAUGAAUUUUCCUCAACUUUGCAAAUAAAAUUAUAAUUCUAAUAUUUCCACAAUUCUAGGAUCCAAUAAGCCUUUAAGCCUAAUCAGCAUAUUUCUAAGCUCUGUACUAGCUAGGGGUGGCCAACAGGGCUGAACCGGACCAAAACCAGCAGCUCCAUUAGGGUCCCCCCUGUUUUGGUUCCAGUUUGAUUAAAUCCAACAGUUGAAAUUUUUUUCCAAAUUUUUUUUAAAGAAAAAAUCCAGUUUUGGCUAGGAACCAAACUGUUUCAAUGCUGGUUUUCGUCAAUAACAAUCCAAUUUUGACCAAUUCCAGUCCGGUUCCGAUUCUGAACUCACCACUGGCUGGGUCUAGUACCAGCAUCGAUGAAGUGCCAAUUCAUCUGAAGCUAAUAAUGCAGUUGAUAAAACUGGACACUUUGCCUCAAUACUCAACCUUCCAAGGCUAUAGCAUGUUUUCCAAAAGACAUGAGAGACACAAACACCAGAAAAAAGGGAUAAAGAGUUGCAACAAAAUUCGAAUGCAUACAUUCUUAUAAAGAAAUUGGGUUUCAAGGCCAGUACAUCAUACUGUAUGCAUAAUAUAAAUAGUAUACUCUAAAUGAAUUAAGAAGAUUGAAAACCCAAGAACAUUUGAGUAGGUCCUUAUUUAGGGACCAAUCAACAUUAUGUUGCAAGAGUGGAUUGUUCAAUUGAUGCCAAUGAGCUUCCUUUUUUCAGCUAGCAGAAUUAAGUAUUUAAGUGGUUUCAUUUGUGUUCAAUCCUUUUCAUGCACAUGUUUGAUGUUGAAGCUGCAACAUCGGAACAUAUAAUGUCAUGUAGCCAACAAUAUCAAAUGCACAACAAACACAUAUAAAUCCAUUUCAUUGUCUUCCACAAAUGGGAAACUCAGAAUGUGAACUCGCUAGCAUAUAUAUAUAACUCUG
rnacentral:misc_RNA from 1 species